UACAGAGGUCUCAAGCGUUGUUCGGAUUCAUUGGGCGUAAAGGGCGCGUAGGCUGCGGGGCAAGUCGGGUGUGAAAUCUCAGAGCUCAACUCUGAAACUGCACUCGAUACUGCUUUGCUCGAGGACUGGAGAGGAAAUUGGAAUUCACGGUGUAGCAGUGAAAUGCGUAGAUAUCGUGAGGAAGACCAGUGGCGAAGGCGGAUCUCUGGACAGUUCCUGACGCUGAGGCGCGAAGGCCAGGGGAGCAAACGGG
rnacentral:rRNA from 1 species